UUUUUUGUCAUGGCACAUGGCCAAACAGGCCUAGGUCGGGUAUAACCCGUUCAAGCUAUAUCCAGAAAGAAUCAGAUCCACAUCCUAACUCAAUCACAGAUUGGCGCCAUUUUCAGGACACCCCCAAGGCAGCACCGUCUUUCUUUUCAAUGACAUUGUCUCGUCCAUCAGCUUGGUAUCAGUUGCCACCACCAGCCUCCACUAAAGGUUACAUUGAUCGCACCUUCAAGCCCGCUGUGUUGUUUUUCCAUUCUCGAAGAUCGCCGUUGCUGCUUUCUGGUUGCCUCUCACUAUGCUUGUGCUCCUUGCUGCUCUUCCGUCACCAGUUGCAUUGGCUCCUUGCCUUUAAAUCCAGAUUUCGGAGACCGUCGUCCUCUGCCUUGAAUUGAAUCCUGGUGUUCCCUAUCCCGUGCUCGACCUUCCUAUUGUUUUUGGUCACUCAUUUUCGACUCCAUUGAUUUCACCCAAUAAGCUUUAACAUCACCAUAUCCACCCUAAACCCAAAUACCAUUGCACCUUUACAACAACAACAAAAAAGAAAAAGAGGCCAACUCCUACACCCAUAUAUGUGGCUCAAUUAUCCUUCAUUAUGGAACUAAAUAAAUAAACAUAAA
rnacentral:lncRNA from 1 species